GCAUGCUGGACUAUCUUGAUACUUACCUUACCAAAGUAUCCGCCCGAGAACUACGAGCACAAACGCUUAAAACUCUAAGGACUUGGCGGUGCCCCAAACCCACCUAGAGGAGCCUGUUCUAUAAUCGAUAACCCACGCUACACCCCACCACUCCUUGCCCCAACAGCCUACAUACCGCCGUCUCCAGCUCACCUCUUCUGAGAGCUUAAUAGUGAGCCCAAUAGCCCCUCCCACUAAAAAGACAGGUCAAGGUAUAGCUUAUGGAGUGGCAGAAAUGGGCUACAUUUUCUAGAAUAGAGAAUCAAUUACGAAAAGGGGUGUGAAAUAACCCCUGGAAGGCGGAUUUAGCAGUAAACUGGGACAAUAAAGCCCUAUUUAAGUUGGCCCUGAGGCACGUACACACCGCCCGUCACCUCUU
rnacentral:rRNA from 1 species